GUCAUUGUGGUAGUAAUCAUGCUUAGUACGAGAGGAGCUGCAGUUUCGGACAAUUGGUUCAUGUACUCGGUUCACAGGCUCGUGGAGUGAAGCUACCAUCCGUGGGAUUAUAGAGAUAAAAUAUUCAGAAAUAUCAUUAAUAUUAAAAUAGUUCAAUAUUAAAUAGUAAUGAU
rnacentral:misc_RNA from 13 species